CUCAUGUGUUACAGUGAAAUUCCAAGGGGCUUUAUCAGUUAAUUGGAAGGCAAAUACUGACAGUAGCUUUGUGCACAAUACUUAAAAUUUAACUGUAAUAACACCAAAGCAAAAAAAAAAAUGUUUGUUGAAAUUGAGUUCAUAGUGAAAUGUGACUAUGACUCAUUCCUGAUGGACCAUAAGGAAAAAUGUCACAUGGAGGAAAACAGAAUAACUGAAAUUGUCCCCUAGAGGCUUCCCGGUAAAAGUCCAUUGACCCCUGAGAUGGCUCGACCUUGGUAGGAAAAUGAUAUUUUGAAGUAAAUAGCUGUUGACCUCUCUGAAUUCUCUUCUGUGAAAGUCUGCCCGUUAGCUCUGCUCUUAGUGUCCAGGGAUUUGUUUUGUAUUAAAGCAUUGAUGGGAUUGGCUAAAAUGAAGGAUAAAUACAGAGAUGUUUGAACAUUGCCUGUCUAUUCUUGAUAUUCAUGGAAUAAUCUUUUUUUUCUCCUAUCAGGGAAGGAUGUCGAGAGAAUUAAUGACCUAUAUUUUGGAGUCUCUCAGAGCUGUGUAAACAAAAAGAAGUGGCAAUAAUUGAAGAGGGCAGAAGGAAAUGGAUUCUGGUACAGAAAUCAACGAACCAAAGACUUCAGCUGGAGCCCAAAUCCACACACACGAUACUGAAGACAAAGUGCCCAUCCCUGAGGAGUUUACAAAAUUAGCAACUUGGAGGUGAAGGUGAGUAUUUGGGGAAACAAAAUCCCUAGAAUAGGCUGACUGUUGUUUUCAGGUAUAGCAUGGUUGAAGUUUUCACGUAUAGCAUGGUUGAAAUGGGGCGCUAGAGCAAUGAAUACAUGGUAUUACUUGGUAUCUCACCACAGCUCCUGGAGCUUUGAUGGAAUUGUGUGUAGAUUAAGGGUAGGAUAUUGAGCAAGGUGUACUUCAUCCAGUUCCAAAGUUUGC
rnacentral:lncRNA from 1 species